ACAUCACUUUUGUUUAUCACUUUUAAGAAUAGGGUGCAGAUAUAUAAUUAUAGAACGAGAAAACCAACCAACCAAUGUACCCAGAAUGACGUUUGAAAAUAAUACAAAAUCAGGAGCGGUGCAGUAACCGUCAAUAUUUUACAAAAUUAAAUUUUAAUUUAAGCCAAAAAAAGUGUUUAUCUUUGGAACAAAAAGUAAGGAAAAAGGAAUCGUGUUGCACGCGUCAGUAUGUUAUACUAUUUACUUAAAAAUGAGCUGUAUCAGGGAAAACGGGCAGACGCCAAAGCUCGCCCCAAUAACGUUCAGG